CUCAUUUUCUCUUCCCACCACCCUGUAAGAAGUGCCUUUAACCUCCCGCCGUGAUUCUGAGGCAUCCCCAACAAUGUAGAGCUUCUUGCCGUGUUGCCAAGGCUGGUCUUGAACUCCUGGGCUCCAGUGAUCCUCCCAUCUCAGGCUCCCAAGUAGCUGAGACUACAGGCAUGUGCCACUGUGCCUAGAUUCCAUUUACUAAUGAUGGAAAUUUGGAUUGCUUCAGAGUUGGCAAAUAUAAAAAAUGCUUUUAUGAACUUUCUUGUGCAUGUGUCUUGGGGUGCACAUGUGCACAAGUUAGGGUGGAUAUGGAGUGGUGAAAUUAUUGAGUCAUAAAUUAUGCACUUACUAGGCAAUGUCAUAUUGUUUUCAUUCAGUUGUACCAAUUCACACUCCCUUCAAUAGCAUAUGAGAGUUGCUCUCAUUCUGGCCACUCACUAGCAUAUUGCUGUUGCUGGUCUUUAAUUUUAUCCUUUCUGGUGGGUAUGUAGUACUAUCAUAUUGUAAUUUUAAUUUCCAUUUCCUUGAUUACUAUCACUGGGAUCCAGCCUCUUUUCAUCUGCUUAUUGGCCAUUUGGAUAUUUGUGUGUGUGUGAUGUGUGUGUUGAAAUCCCACGCCCAUUUUUCUAUUAUCUGUCCUUAUCUUUAUUGACUUAGAGAGUUUCUUUGUAUAUCUUGGAUAUAUUCCUUUGUAAUUCAGUUAUAUUACAGAUAUUUUUUUCUAGGCUAACAGCUUGUUUUUUUUUUACUUUCAUCAUAGUGUCUUCUUUGAACAGUUCUUAAUUCUAAUGUAGUCCAAUUUAUGAAUCUUUUCCUUUAUGACUAACAUUUUUUGUUGUAUAAGAACUCUUUGCCCCCAAAAACAGGAAGCCAUGUUUUUUUACAGAUGAAAAAAUGAAGACAGAGAGAGAUGGAGUGGUUUGCUAAACUUGAAUCCAGGUAUUUUGACACCAAAGUCUGCAUUAUUUCCAUUACACCAUGCUAAUGUCAAUUUUUUAUAAAAAAUUAUUUUUAUUUAUUUUGGUCACUGACCUUUCCUCAUCACUUGAUGUAAUACAAAGCUUUAAGAGUAUGGAGAAGCAGGUGAUGGUACUUAGGGAUAAGAAAAGUUCACAAAGCUCCCACACGUGCCUCAUGCCCUCAGCCAGAGGUAGAAGGAUAUUUUGCAAAUAUUCCCAACUUUGCUGCUCAUGCAGCCUUUUCUCUGCUGAUUAAUAUUCCCACACCUCCUCUGGCCUAAUUUUUGUCCUAAACACUUGAGGCCAGGCAAAAUAUGAUAGCAGCAGAGGACUUAAAUUUGUAGAUAGUAUAUAUGCUAACCAAUACAUCAUCAUUUUAAGGCUUUGUCUUAAAAAUAGCAAAAGAUAUGGAAAGUUACGAAGAAGGAUAUAUAAGUACAGCAGUAAUCCCGCAUGUUUCUAAUUGAAUAUGGGCCUCCCGAAGUUUCCACCAACAUACAAUACCACCUUUGCUGAAUAAGGAUUCCACCAGAUUUGAGAAGCAUUCGGAGCUUCUGUAAAUAUUCUGGUAACUUCCCCUUAAACAGUUCUAAAAACUCCAGUUGCAUCUCUGCUUGCUCACAGGGAGCAGAUGAUUGGUACAAAACAACUCCAGCAUAUCUCUAAUAUUAUUUUUUUUUUAAACUUAACUAUUUUGACAUAUUUUUAAACUUGAAAAUGUUGCAAUAGUAGAUGGGUCUCCAAUAUAUCCUUUAUCCAGAUUCACCCAAUCUUUUUUUUUUUUUUCUUUACAUAUUGCCCUGUUGGCUUUACCAUUGUAUCAACUCAUGCAUGUAUUUUUUUCUGAAAUGUAGUAAUGAGUUGGAGACCUCAUGUUCCUUUCUUCCUAAAUACUUCACUGUGCAUUUCCUGUAAUCAAAAUCAGGAUAUUUAACAUAGCUGUAACACUACUGGCAAAUCCAUAGUCCGUAUUCAAAUGGGAUCAAUGGUUCUCUAAUAUACAUCAUUGCUAUUAUUUUUCCUAACCUAGGAUUCCAAUGGUAGGCAUUGUGCUUAGUUGUAAUAUCUCUUUGGUCUUCUCCAAUUUGGAAUAGUUCCUCAGCUUUUCUGUUUUUUGUUUUGUUUUGUUUUUGUUUUUGUUUUUACCUUGUUAUUUUUGAAGAAUACAGCCAUUACUUUGGAGACUGUCCCUCAGCUUGUGUUUGUCUGAUGUUUCCUCAUGUUUAGAUUUUGAUUAUGCAUUUUGCCAGGAAAACCAUGGAUGUCAUGGUUUGGCCUUCGUUUUGUAGCAAUCAUAGCAAGUGGCACAUAGUAUUGGUAAUAUCGACUAUGAUCACUUGGAUAGGGUGGUGCUCUCUAGGUUCCUCCACUGUGAAACCAUGCAAAUAUCCUGUUCCUUAUCAAAGUUUGGUGUUCUUGGUUUAGCAUCCAUUGAACAUUCAGAAACUCUUGUUCCCCCCCACCCCACCGGACUCACUGCAAGCUCUGCCUCCCAGGUUCACACCAUUCUCCUGCCUCAGCCUCCCGAGUAGCUGGGACUACAGGCACCCGCCUCCACGCCCGGCUAAUUUUUUUUGUAUUUUUUAGUAGAGACGGGGUUUCACCGUGUUAGCCAGUACGGUCUCGAUCUCCUGACCUCGUGAUCCGCCUGCCUCGGCCUCCCAAAGUGCUGGGAUUACAGGUGUGAGCCACCACGCCUGGCCAAAAACUCUUAUUUCUUUAUAUUUAUUAGUUGACUUUCUAUUGUAAGGAAGAGCUUUCCUGCAUGUAUGCAUGUAUGUCAGUAUGAGCUCACAGAUUUUUAUUUUACUCAGUAGGUUAUAAUCCAUUGCUGUAAUUAUUUUUGUAUUUUGAUGUUUAAAUUGUCCUGCAUUUGGUCAGUGGGGAACCCUUUCCAGCUGUCUCCUGUGUCCUUUCAAUACAGUCCCUCCAUUCUUUGGGUGAAUCCUAACUUUCUGGUGCAGUGAGAUAUUCCAGAUUCAUAUUAUAUCUCUCUGCUCAAGCAUUGGAAUCAAUGCUUUUUUUGUAGGUCUCUUGUUCUAUUUAGUGGAGAAUGGCAUUUAGAAAGCUAGAUAAGGUAGUGGUUACACAACCAUACGCCUUUGUCAAAACAGGUUAUAGAACUGUACGCUAAAAUAAAGAUAAUUUAUUUUUUUCUUUUACUCCAUGGUAUAUAUAAAAUAAAAUACGUAAACAUUAUAAUAAGGAAAAAAGAAAAAAGUUAAAACUGAAUUAUAGACAACUACUAAUAUGUACACCAAACAAUUAAGAUAUGGUAUAUUUUCAGCAUCAACAAAAAUUGCCUUGUUUCCCCUUAAGGCCAACCUGUCCUUCAUCCUAGCCCUUGGAAACCACUGAUCUAUUUUCUGCCCCUGUAGUUUUGCCUUUUCCAGAAUGUCUAAUAAACUGGAUCAUACAGUGUUUAACCUUCUUAAUGUUAUGCAUUGAGCUUCCUCCAUUUUAUUGCAUAUAUUGGUAGUUCGUUCCUUUUUAUUGCUGAGUAAUAUUCUAUUGUAUGUGCUACAGUUCACUCAUUCACCAGUUGAAGAACAUUUAGGUUUUGUCAAUUAUGAAAAAAGUUACUAUAAACAUAUAUGACCAGUGUUGUUAUUGUUCUUCAGUAAAUACGUAGGAGUGAGUUUACUAGAUCAUAUAGUAAGUGUGUUUAACUUUAUAAAGUAAAACUUUAUGCUUUACAAAGUAUUUUUAAAAUUCUUAACUUUAUAAAGUUAAAAAAACUUUAUUAAUUAAAACUGCCAAACUGUUUUCAAUUCCAUUCCCACCAACAAUGAAUGAGAGUUCUAGUUCUAAGUUAUUGUCAGCACUUGGUAUUUUCACAUAAAAAAAAUUCAAAAAUGUAAUAAGAAUAUAGUGGUAUCUCAUUUAUGGUUUUAGUUUGCAUUUCCUUGAUUGCUAAUGAUAUUGAGCAUCUUUUAAUGUAAUAUACAUACAUUUUAAAAGCAAAAGUAGAAUUGUACUGCAUAUACUAUUGGUAACCUACUUUUUAUUUCCCACUUAACAGUGUGUAAUUCAUAUUUUUCUACAAUAUAAUUAAUUAAUUACUUUGUUUAAAGCCUAAGCAUGACUGACAAAUGUGAAAAAUAGACAAGGAAACCUGUAAUGCAAUGCCACUCUCUCUAAUAAAAAAAAUCUAGAAUUCACAUUUUGAUGCUGAAAGGAAACUUGUUUCAACUCUUUUGUGUUAUUCAUCUUUUUCCUCUCAGAAUAGCCAUAGAUUAUUAUUUAGUACUCAUUCCUCAGUUUCCCCAAUGCCUUGCUGGUCUGCUGAGGUAGCUUCUGGCUGGGAAUGGAGCAGGCAGAAUAAUCUGCCCUGUAGCUCAGUCUUCAAUGCCUUCCCCCCACCCUCUUCUCCCCAGUUCAACUCCUCCCGCUUUAUCACCCUCCUCAGGAGGGAAGCCUUUGGAAGGAGUCUGCUCCUCUCUCAGCAUUGUGGGAGACUUUCCUAAACUAUCAUCUUUUAAUUGCGAUCUCAGAGACAGCCUUACUACCAUGACCACCACCUCUAUUUCCCUGGGACCUGUUGGAUAUCUCAGAAUCCAAUCAGUAGCCAACCUGCCCUCAACCAGCUCCUACUUGAUCAGAGUUGUGUUAGUUUUCCAAGCGUUUCAUCCCACGUGCUUCUGCUUGGGUUGAUUUUUGUAAUCUAAUGUUAAUUUAUUUUAUUUUAUUUUAUUUUUUGAGACAGGGUCUCAUUCUGUCACCCAGGCUGGAGUGCAGUGAUGCAAUCACAGCUCACUGUAGCCUCAAUCUCCUGGGCUCAAAUGAUUCUCCCACCUCAGCCUCCCAAGUAGGUAGGACUGCAGGUGCCACACCACCACACCCAGGUAAUUUUUCUUUUCUUUUUUUUUUUUUUCCAGUACAGAUAGGAUCUUGCUAUGUUGCCCAGGAUGGUUUCAAACUCCUGGUGUCAAGCAAUCCUCCCACUAUGGCUUUCCAAAGUGCUGCAAAUUCAGGCCUGGGCCACUGUGCUCGGCCAUAAAUUUGAAUUUUGCUUUCAGUAUUUCCACGAAGUCUUCUAUCUAGCUGGGUAGGGAUCCUCGAGCAAGACAUAUAUACCAAUUCACUGUUUUGUCCAUCUCACCCAUAUGGAAAUUUGAAAGUUAUUAGUGGUUAAUCAAAAAAAGAGAAUGAUCCCUUCAAAUCGGGCUUUCAAACCCCUUCCUGAUAUGAAGAGGCUGUUCAUAUGAGAAGCUGUUCAGCACUUCUUUUUCCCAGAAUGCAGAAAGAUUGUUUGGUGAGGCUCACCAUGCAUGCCUGGCUCUCAGGCCUCCCCAAAAGGUCUCUGACUCUUUAACAAGUUGAGGACCUUCUUGUCCCGAAUGGUCAUUUUUCUUUCCCUUUUCAAGUGGAGGAUUUACGGAAAGCAAGUUUCUCCACUAAUCCAUUCCCCCUUCGCAUUGGUAGGUACUUCCUUCUACUCCUGAAUAAAUUCCCUGGAGCUUCUCUCAGCCUAGACCCUGACUCCACUUGGCUCUUUCCAGUUGUGUUUCUAUGGUCUAGAGUGGGCAUUUUCUUCCCUCAAUCUGAUGAGGACAAAAGUGAAUCCACCAUCUCAUCCCUCAACUAGAGUCCAACCAAAAGUCCCCAAAGGAAAGAUGUGGUGGCAAGGAGCUGGGAUGUUGGUAAGAUCCGAGUCUCCCUCUUCUUGUUCACAUUUUUCCUGGACUUCUUAGCUCUAUACUGUUAUGCCUUCAUUAUCUAUUAUUGUGCAACAAAGAUUCCAUCAUUUAGCAGCUUGAAACAACAAACAUUUGUUACCUCACAGUUUCUAAGGGUCAGGAAUCUGAAGUGAUCUAGCUGGAUGGUAUGGCUCAGGGUCUUGCAUGAGGCACCGUCACAAUAACAGCCAGGAUUGGCUAGGCAUGGUGGCUCAUGCCUGGAAUCCCAGCACUUUGGGAGGCUGACGCAGGUGGACUUGAGUCCAGGAGUUCAAGACCAGUCUGGGCAAUAUGGUGAACCCUGUCUCUAUUUAAAAAAAGAAAAAGAAAAAGAAAAACAGCCAAGACUUCAGCCUCUGAAAACUUGACUUGGGUAAACACCGCUCUGCUGUUAGAGCUUUCUGACAUCAUCUCCAACACUCUCACUUAUUCCUUCUCUUUAUAAUCUUUAAUAGGGCUGACAAAUCUGGAAUAGUCAAACAAGAUUUUACUGCAAGGCUAGACAAUUACAAAGAAACCUAACAAAAGAGUAAAACAAAUUUAGAAAAUCUAGCAAACGAAGUAGUUUAGAGACUUUCAUCCUAUAUGGCACUUUGAAUGCUGGCCUGUCCUUGCUGGCUAUCUCCCUGCAUCCACCUGAAAAAGGAUAUUGUUAAAACCCAGGCUGUAGGGCUCACUUUCCUGGACACCUACAUUCUUUACAGUUUAGCAAGAAGGGAGGCAGAGCUUUUUUCUCUUAUCUACCUAGAGGUCACUCAGUUUUUCUGCUUUAGGAAUUGCCUCUUCUCAUGAAUAUACCAGGAAAGACCUGUCUGCCCUUAAGGGGAAACACUACUUCCAAACCCAAAGAAUGGUGGCUCUGCCCUGGUCAGAUUUAACCUGAUAACCAUUUCUCAACAAGUGCAGUAACCCAAUAUUCACAUAAGUGAUACAGAAACUGGAAGUUGUUUUCUUAAACUAUGACCAUGUUUAAUUAUUUUAAUUUCUUCAUGUGAUUUCAGGUCAAUCCAAUCUAUACCGAAAGGUUAAUUCCCAGAGUUAAUCAGAAAAUAGCUACAACAAAUACUUCGACAGAUAUAUUUUAUUUAGUUUCUCCUGCUAGGAUUGGCAUUAAAUUGAAUAUGACAUCCUUUCAAAAGUGAAGGGUAGAAAGAUGGGGAAAAAUGGCAGACAGGAGGCCGGACUAGCUUGCAGGUCCCACUCAGAUGAACAGAGCAUGUAGAGACCCACAUCAUAAACUUUUGCUCCAAGAACUGCCACAGGAACAUACCAGGAAAGCCGAGAGAAUUCACAGAUCCUUUAAAGGAGGUGGCUUGCCACUGCAGGCUCUGCGGGACAGCCAAGGAACUGUGAGUCCAUUUGCUUUCUCAGCCGGGAGGCUUGCAGCCUGGGUCAAGUUCUCAGCCCUGCUCACCGGCUGCCUGAAUAUGUAACUCAGUACUGUUGUGGGGCACGGUGAGAGUGAGUCCGGCCUUCACGCUGCUGGCUGUGUGGGAGCUGGGUGAAGCCUGUGACUGCCGGGGUUCUCCCACUUCCCUGGUGACUUGUGUGAGGAAGCACAGGCAGCCAUAAUUCCCCUGGGAACAUAACUCCAUUGGCCUGGGAACCACAUCCCGAUCCCCCACUGCAGCUGUAGCAAGCCCCACCCAGAGUCUUAGCUCAGACGCGCCUAACCCUGCUCCCACCUGAUGGUCUUUCUCUACCUGCCCUGGUAGCCAAAGACAAAGGAGGUAAUCUCUUGGGACCUCUAUGGUCCCACCUACCACAUGAUCCUCCCUAUACUAUCACAAGCUGAUGCUCUCUUGAAAGUGUCACCUCCUGGCUGGAGGCCAACCAACACAAAACCAGUGCACUUAACAAAAACACAACUGAGGCCCCUCACGGAGUCCACAUCACUCCCCAGCUACCUCCACCAGAUUAGGUGCUGGUAUCCAUGACCGGGAGACCUGAAGAUGAAUCACAUCACAUGACUCUUGGCAGACAGUCCCCAUUAUCAGCCCAGAGCCUAGUAGCUCCGCUGGGUGGCUAGAUACAGAAGAGAAAUAACAAUCACUGUAGUUUGGCUCUCAGGAAGCCCCAUCCCUAGGGGAAGCGGGGAGAGCACCACAUCAAGGAAGCAUGCCAUGGGACAAAAGAAUUGAAACAGCAGCCCUUGAGUCCCAGAUCUUCCCUCUGAAAUAGUCUGCCCAAAUGAGGAGGAACCAGAAAAACUAUUCAGGUAAUACGACAAAACAAGGUUCUUUAAUACCCCCAAAAGAUCACAGUGGCUCACCAGCAAUUGAUCCAAACCAAGAAGAAAUCUCUGAAUUGCCAGAAAAAGAAUUCAGAAGGUCAAUUAUUAAGCCAAUCAAGGAGGCACCAGAGAAAGGUGAAGUCCAAUUUAAAGAAAACAAAAACCCGGAUAUGAAUGGAAAAAUCUAAUGAAAUAGAUAGUAUAAAUAAAAAACAAUCACAGCUUCUGGAAAUCAAGGACACACUUAGGGAAAUGCAAAAUGCACUGGAAAGUCUCAGCGAUAGAAUCAAACAAGCAGAAGAAAGAACUUCAACUUCAGGGCUUGAAGACAAGCCUUUCGAGUUAACCAAAUCCAACAAAGACAAAGAAAAAAGCAUCUUAAAAAAUGAACGAAGCCUCCAAGAAGUUUGGGAUUAUGUUAAAUGACCAAAUCCAAGAAUAAUUGGUGUUCCUGAGAAAGAAGAGAAAUCUACAAGUUUGGAAAACAUAUUUGUGGGAAUAAUUGAGGAAAACUUUCCUGGCCUUGAUAGGGAUUUAGACAUUCAAAUACAAGAAGAUCAAAGAACACCUGGGAAAUUCAUCACAAAAAGAUUAUCACCUAGGGACAUAGUCAUCAGUUUAUCUAAAGUCAAGAUGAAGGAAAGGAUCUUAAGAGCUGUGAGGCAAAAGCAUCAGGUAACCUACAAAGGAAAACCUAUCAAGUUAACAGCAGAUUUCUCGGCAGAAACCUUACAAGCUAGAAGGGAUUGGGGUCCUAUCUUUAGCCUCCUUAAACAAAAUAAUUAUCAGCCAAGAAGUUUGUAUCCAGUGAAACUAAGCUUCAUAAAUGAAGGAAAAAUACCGUCUUUUUCAGACAAACAAAUGCUGAGAGAAUUAGGCACUACCAAGCCAGUACAACAAGAACUGCUAAAAGGAGUUAUAAAUCUUGAAGCAAAUCCUCAAAAUACACCAAAAUAGAAUCUUCUUAAAGUGUAAUUCUCACAGGAUCUAUAAAACAAUAACACAAUGAACAAAAACAAGGUAUUCAGGCAACAAAUAACAUGAUGAAGAGAAUAGUACCUCACAUCUCAACACUAAUGUUGAAUGUAAAUGGCCUAAAUGCUCCACUUAAAAGAUACAUAAUGGCAGAAUGGAUAAGAACUCACCAACCAAGUCUCCGCUGUCUUCAAGAGACUCACCUGACACAUAAGGACUCAUAUAAACUUAAGGUAAAGGGGUAGGAAAAGAUAUUCCAUGCAAAUGGACACCAAAAGCGAGCAGGAGUAGCUAUUCCUGUAUCAGACAAAACAAACUUUAAAGCAACAGCAGUUAAUCAAACACAGAGGGACAUUAUAUAAUGAUAAAAGGACUAGUCCAAGAGGAAAAUAUCACAAUCCUAAAUAUAUAUGCACCUAAGACUGGAGCUCCCAAAUUUAUAAAACAAUUACUACUAGACCUAAGAAAUGAGAUAGAUGGCAACACAAUAAUAGUGGGAGACUUCAACACUCCACUGACAGCACUAGACAGGUCAUCAAGACAGAAAGUCAACAAAGAAACAAUGGACUUAAACUAUACACUAGAACAAAUGGACUUAACAGAUAUUUACAGAACAUUCUACCCAACAACUGCAGAAUAUACAUUCUAUUAUUCAUCAGCACAUGGAGCAUUCUCCAAGAAGACCGUAUGAUAGGUGACAAAACAAGUCUCAACAAAUUUAAGAAAACCAAAAUUAUAUAAAUUAUAUAAGCACUCUUAUAAGUAAUACAGUUACUCUCUCAGACCGCAGUGUAAUAAAAUUGGAAAUCAACUCCAAAAGGAACCCUCAAAACCAUGCAAAUAUGUGGAAAUUAAAUAACCUGCUCCUGAAUAAUCAGUGGGUCAACAAUGAAAUCAAGAUGGAAAGUCUUUGAACUGAAUGAUAAUAAUGGCACAACCUAUCAUAAGCCCUGGGAUAUGGCAAAAGCAGUGCUAAGAGGAAAGUUCAUAGCAUUAAAUGCCUACAUCAAAAAGUCUGAAAGAGCGCAAAUAGACAAUCUAAGGACACACCUCAAGGAACUAGAGAAGCAAGAACAAAUCAAACCCAAAUCCAGUAGAAGAAAAUAAAUGGCAAGAUCAGAGAAGAACUAAAUGAAAUUGAAACAAACAAAACACAAAAGAUAAAUAAAACAAAAAGUUGGUUUUGUUAAAAGAUAAAUAAAAUUGAUAGACUAUUAGCAAGAUUAACCAAGAAGAGAGAAGAUCCAAAUAAGCUCAACUAGAAAUGAAACAGGAGAUAUUACAACAGAUACCACAGAAAUACAAAAGAUUAUUCAAGGCUACUAUGAACACCUUUAUGUGCAUAAACUAGAAAACCUAGAGGAGAUGGGUAAAUUCCUGGAAAUAUACAAAAUAUACAACUCUUCUAGACUAAACCAGGAAGAAAUAGAAACUCUGAACAGACCAAUAACAAGCAGUGAGAUUGAAAUGGUAAUUUAAAAGUUACAAACAAAAAAACAUCCAGGACCAGAUGGAUUCACAGCUGAAUUCUAUCAAACAUUCAAAGAAGAAUUGGUACCAGUCCUAUCGACACUAUUCCAAAAAAUAAGAAGGAAAUCUUUCCUAAAUCAUUCUAUGAAGCCAGCAUCACCCUAAUACCAAAACCAGGAAAGAAUAUAACAACAACAACAACAACAGCCAAUAUCCUUGAUGAACAUAGAUGCAAAAAUCCUCAACAAAAUAGUAGCUUAUUGAGUCCAACAGCAUAUCAAAAGAUAAUCCACCAUGAUCAAAUGGGUUACAUACCAGGGAUGCAGGGAUGGUUUAAACAUCCUCAAAUCAAUAAUUGUGAUACACCAUAUAAACAGAAUUAAAAACAAAAAUCACAUGAUCAUUUCCAUAGAUGCAGAAAAAGCAUCUGACGAAAUCCAGCAUCCCUUUAUGAUUAAAACCCUCAGCAAAAUCAGCAUAGAAGAGACAUACCUUAAUGUAAUAUAGGCUAUAUAUGAAAAACCCACAGCCAACAUUACACUGAACUUGGAAAAGUUGAAAGCAUCCCCCCUGAGAACUGGAACAAGACAGGUGUGAUAAUAUUGAGUGUCAACUUGAUCGGAUUGAAGAAUGCAAAGUUGUUCCUGGGUGUGUCUGUGAGGGUGUUUCCAAAGGAGAUUAACAUUUGAGUCAGUGAACUGAGAGAGACAGACCCACCCUCAAUCUGGAUGGGCACCAUUUAAUCAGCUGCCAGCAAGCUAGAAUAAAGCAGGUAGAAAAAGUUGGAAGGACUAGACUUGCUGUGUCUUUCAGUCUUCAUCAUUCUCCUGUGCUGGAUGCUUCCUGCCCUCGAAAAUCAGACUCCAAGUUCUUAAGCUUUUGGACCCUUGGACUUACACCAGUGAUUUGUCAGGGGGCUCUCAGGCCUUUGACUACAGACUGAAGGCUGCACGGUCAGCUUCCCUACUUUUGAGGUUUUGGGACUCAGACUGGCUUUCUUGCUCCUCGGCUUGCAGAUGGCCUAUGGGGGGACUUUACCUUGUGAUCAUGUGAGUCAAUUCUCCUUAAUAAACUCCCUUUCAUAUAUACAUUUAUCCUAUUAGUUCUGUUCUUCUAGAGAGAACCCUGACUAAUGCAGAUUUUGGUACCAGGAGUGGCUCUAGAGGAACAGAAUUUUAAGAAUGGAUUUCUUUAGUUGGUUUGGAGGUUUCUGGAGUUGGCUGUUUAAUCUGAUUAAACCCAAAAUGCUAAGCACUCUACUUCUAAUAGUAUGAAGAACACUGAUAGUCCUUGCCAUUCACUGUUUAAAGAGUUAUGCAAAAUAAAUGCAUUUGAUACUCCUGAUCCACCACUCGUGAGAGGCAAGGAAUUUAGUGACUCUAUACAUAAUACUUUUGACCAUAUGUGGAGAACCAAGGAAUAUAAUGAAGAUGGUUGGUUGCUCAUAAGCUUGCUGGAAAAGUGAUGAAAGAAAAGGAUGAGCUCAGGAAUUCUAACUCCUGGCUCCAGAAGCACAGACUGAGCCUCAAGUCUUCUGAGAUUUCCCUUAGUGAGUGUCUUAUCUCCUCUAGACAAAGGUCUGAAAUUGCAGAAAAUGAGACACAAGCUCUUAUCAUGAGAGUGGCUGACCUGCAAUGAAAGGUGCAUGCACAGUCUUGCCAGGUGUCUACUGUUAAGGUGAGGACAUUGAUUAGAAAUGAAUGGGACCCUGCAACUUGGAAUGGGGUCACGUGAGAGGACCCUGAUGAAGCCACAGACACAGCUCAUAAACUCUGAUGAACCUUUUUUGCCAGAAGGAAUAGCUUCCCGAUACCCAGCAGUGGCAACAUCCCCUCCCCCACCCACACUGCCAUCAGCCUUUCUACCUCUGUCUGAGGAGAUAACCCUGCACUGCCUGAAGCAACAGUGAAGUUGCCAGGCAAAAAAAUACUUAUUCUCCUCAGGACCCACCCCCAACACCCCUGUUUGCUUCUAGACCUAUAACUAGACUCAAGUCCUAACAGGCCCCUUAGAGGUAAGGUUUAGAGUGUGACCCACAAGGAGGUGUGCUACGCUCCAAAAGAACUGCUUGAGUUUUCUAAUUGAUAUAAGCAGAAAUCUGGAGAACAUGCAUGGGAAUGGAUAUUAAGGGUGUGGGAUAAUGGUGGAAGAAACAUGAAGUUACAUCAGACUGAAUGUAUUGACAUGGGUCCACCAAGCAGGGAUCCUGCAUUUAAUGUUGCAGCUCAGGGAGUUAAAAACAGUUUUAAUAGUUCAUUUGCUUGGUUAGCUGAAAUAUGGAUCAAAAGAUGGCCCACUGUGAGCAAGCUGGAAAUGAAAUGCCUGAUCUCCCUUGGUUUAAUGUAGAGGAAGGAAUCCAAAGCCUUGGGAAGAUUGGAAUGCUAGAGUGGAUUAGUCACUUUAGACCUACUCAUCCCAGCUGGAGUGUACAGAAGACAUACCCUUCACCAAUACUUGGCGAAAUAGAUUUGUGAGGGCAGCACCUGCAUCCUUAAAGAGGUCUGUGAUUGCCCUUCUCUGUAGGCCAGGUCUUACAGUGGGAACUACAGUCACUUAGUAAGAAAAUUUAAAUGCAAUGGGAAUAACUGAAAGUCAAGGUGGCAGGGGCCAAGUGAUGGCAUUCAACCUUCAAAGGCAAGGUGUAGUUACCGUAAGAGAUAGCAGAGGCAAAGCAGCAAUCAGAAUAGUCUGACUCAUGUAGAGCUGUGGCACUGGCUAAUCAUGAUGUUCCUAGAAGUGAAAUUGAUAAGAAGCCCACUGCAUUCUCACUAUAGUAAUUUGUAUAAGCAAAAGCUUCUAGGCCGAGUGGACAAAAACUAAUUUUAAUUAUAAAAAUAAAGAAUUAUGUCCCCUCAAUCAAAUUCCAGACAUGAACAAAUUUACAGACCCAGAAUCCCUUGAAUGAAGGGGAGGCCAGACUCCCCUUGAGGAACGACCACACUAAACUACCAACAAUUUAUGCUGUUAAUCUUUCUCCCAUCCUCCCCCAAGGAAACCUCCAGCCUUUUACCAGAGUAACUGUGCACUGGGGAAAGAGGAAUGAUCAGACCUUUUGGGGACUACUGGACACUGGCUCUGAGCUGAUGUUGAUUCCAGGGGACCCAAAUGUCAUUGUGGUCCUCCAGUUAAAGUAGAGGCUUAUGGAGGUUAGGUAAUUAGUAGAGUUUUAGCUCGGGUCUGACUUAUAGUGUGUCCAGUGGGUCCCUGGACUCAUCCUUUGGUCAUUUCCCCAGUGCCAGAAUGCAUAAUUGGGAUAGACAUACUUAGCAGCUGGCAGAACCCCCAUAUUGGCUCCCUGACUUGUAGGGUGAAGGGCUACUAUGGUGAGAAAAGCCAAAUGGAAGCCAUUAGAGCUGCCUCUACCUAGAAAAAUACUAAAUGAAAAACAAUAUCUCAUCCCUGGAGGGAUUGUGGAGAUUAGUGCCACCAUCAAGAACUUGAAAGAUGCAGGGAUGGUGAUUCCCACCACAUCCCUGUUCAACUCGCCUAUUUGGUCUGUGCAAAAGACAGAUGGAUCUCAGAGGAUGACAGCAGAUUAUUGUAAGCUUAACCAAGUGGUGACUCCAGUUGCAGCUGCUGUACCAGAUGUGUUCAUAGCUUGAAACAAAUUAAUACAUCUUCUGGUAUGGGUUAUGCAGCCAUUGACUUGGCAAAUGCCUUUGUCUCUAUUCCUAUCCAUAAAGCCCACCAGAAGCAAUUUGCCUUCAGCUGGCAAGGCCAGCAAUAUACCUUUACUGUCCUACCGCAGGGGUGUAUCAACUCUCCAGCUUUGUGUCAUAAUCUUGUUCUCAGAGAUCUUGAUCACUUUUCCUUUCCACAUAUCACACUGGUCCAUUACAUUGAUGAUAUUAUACUGAUUGGAUCCAGUGAGCGAGAAAGUAGCAAACACACUGGACUUAUUGGUGAGACAUUUGCAUGCCAAAGGAUGGGAAAACAAUCUGACUAAAAUUCAGGGAUCUUCUACCUCAGAAAAAUUUCUAGUGGUUCAGUGGUGUGGGGCCUGUCAAGAUAUUCCUUCUAAGGUGAAGGAUAAAUUGUUGCAUUUGGCCCCUCCUACAACCAAGAAAGAGGCACAACAUCUAGCGGAUCUAUUUGGUUUUUGGAGGCAACACAUUCCUCAUUUGGGUGUGUUACUCUGGUUCAUUUAUCAAGUGACCUGAAAGGCUGACAGUUUUGAGUGGGGCCCAGAACAGACGGCUCUGCAACAGGUCCAGUCUGCUGUGCAAUCUUCUCUUUCACUUGGGCCAUAUGACCUAGCAGAUCCAAUGGUGCUCGAGGUGUCAGUGGCAGAUAGAGGUGCUGUGUGGAGCCUUUGACAGGCCCCCAUAGGUGAAUCACAGUGGAGGCCUCUAGGAUUUUGGAGCAAGGCCCUGCCGUCUUCUGCAGAUAACUACCCUCCUUUUGAGAGACAGCUCUUGGCCUGUUGCUGAGCUUUGGUAGAAACUGAACGUCUGACUAUGGAUCAUCAAGUCACCAUGCGACCUGAACUGUCUAUCAUCAACUGGGUCUUUUCUGAGCCACAUAGCCAUAAAGUGGGCCAUGCAAAGCUGCAUUCCAUCAUCAAAUGGAAGUGGUAUAUACAUGACUGGGCUCAAGCAGGUCCUGAGGGCACAAGUUUACAUGAGGAAGUGGCUCAAAUGCCCAUGGUCUCCACUCCUGCCACCCUGCCUUCUCACCCCCAGCCUGCACUGAUGGCCUUAUGGGGAGUUCCCUAUGAUCAGCUGACAGAGGAAGAGAAAACUAGGACCUGGUUUACAGAUGGGUCUGCACGAUAUGCAGGCACCACCUGAAAGUGGACAGCUGCAUCAUAUAGCCCCUUUUUAGGACAUCCGUGAUGGACAGUGGCAAAGGUAUAUCUUCCCAGAGGGCAGAACUUUGAGCAGUGCAGCUGGUUGAGCACUUUGCUUGGAAGGAGAAAUGGCCAUAUAUGCGAUUAUAUACUGAUGCAUGAGCUGUAGCUGAUGGUUUGGCUGGAUGGUCGGGGACUUGGAAGAGGCAUGAUUGGAAAAUUAGUGACAGAGAAAUUUGGGGAAGAGGUAUGUGGAUGAACUUCCCUAGUGGGCAAAAACUGUGAAGAUAUUUGUAUCUCAUGUGAAUGCUCACCAAAGGGUGACCUCAGCAGAGGAGGAUUUAAAUAAUCAAGUGGAUAGGGUGACUCAUUCUGUAGACACCACUCAGCCUCUUUCCCCAGCCACCGUGUCAUCCCUCAAUGGACCCAUGAACAAAGUGGCCAUGGUGGCAGGGAUGGAGGUUACACAUGGGAUCAGCAACAUGAACUUCCACUCACCAAGGCUGACCUUGCUAUGGCCACCGCUGAGUGCCCAAUUUGCCAGCAGCAGAGACCAACACUGAGCCCUCAAUAUAGUACCAUUCCUCAAGGUAAUCAGCCAGCUACGUGGACUUCUUCCAUCAUGGAAAGGGCAGAGGUUUGUCUUCACCAGAAUAGAUACAUACUCCAGAUAUGGGUUUGCCUACCCUGUAUGUAAUGCUUCUGCCAAGACUACCAUCUGUGGACCCAUGGAAUGCCUUAUGCACUAUCAUUGUAUUCCACACAGCAUUGCCUCUGACCAAGGCACUCACUUUACAGCUAAGGAAGUGGGCUCAUGCUCAUGGAAUUCACUGGUCUUACCAUGUUCCCCAUCAUCCUGAAGCAGCUGGAUUGAUAGAAUGGUGGAAUGGCCUUUUGAAGUCACAAUUACAACGCCAACUAGGUGACAGUACUUUGCAGGGCUAGGUUUAAGUUCUCCAGAAGGCUAUGUAUGCCCUGAAUCAGCAUCCAAUAUGUGGUACUGUUUCUCCCAUAGCCAGCCAGGAUUCAUGGGUCCAGGAAUCAGGGGGUGGAAGUGGAAAUGGCAUCACUUACCAUCACCCCUAGUGACCCACUAGCAAAAUUUUUGCUUCCUGUUCCUGCAACAUUGUGUUCUGCUAGUCUAGAGGUCUUAGUUCCAGAAGGAGGAAUGCAACUACCAGGAGACACAAUGAUUCCAUUAAACUGGAAGUUAAGAUUGCCACCUGGACACUUUGGGCUCCUCCUAUCCCUAAGUCAACAGGCUAAGAAGGGAGUUACAGUAUUGGCUGUGGUGAUUGGCCCAGAUUACCACUAUGAAGUCGGUCUACUAUGGAGGUAAGGGAGUCCAUGAUGGAGGUAGGGAAGAGUAUGUGUGGAAUACAAGAGAUCCCUUAGGGUGUCUCUUAGUAUUACCAUGCCCUGUGAUUAAGGUCAAUGGGAAACUACAACAACCCAAAUCAGGCAGGACUACAAAUGGCCCAGACCAUUUAGGAAUGAAGGUUUGGGCCACUCCAUCAGGUAAAAAACUGUGACCCACUGAGGUGCUUCCUGAAGGCAAAAGGAAUACAGAAUGGGUGGUAGAAGAAGGUAGUCAUCAAUACUAGCUACAACCACAUGACCAGUUGCAGAAAAGAGGACUGUAAUUGUCAUACGGAUUUCCUCCUUAUUUUGUUAGGAACAUGUUUGUGCAUGUAUACACUUGUACUAAGAAAAUAUCUUCAUUUUAUUUUCUUUCUUUUUCCUUUAUCAUGUGACAUAAGAUUUCUUGACUUCAUAUCAGUAUUUAAGUAUUGUUAACUUUAUGUAAUAGCAUUUAGAUUAAGGAUUAGUGUAAUUCUGAUUGUAUGAAGGAUAGCCCUAUUAUGUUAGGCAUAACUAUGACCUUAUUAUUGUCUUUAUUUGAAAAUUAUGUAUGAUUGCAGGAGAUGUGUAUGGGUUCAAGUUGACAAGGGGUGGACUUGAGAUGGUUAAUAUCGAGUAUCAACUUGAUUGGAUCAAAGGAUGCAAAGAGUUGUUCCUGGGUGUGUCUGUGAGGGUGUUUCCAAAGGAGAUUAACAUUUGAGUCAGUAGACUGGGAGAGACAGACCCACCCUCAAUCUGGGUGGGCACCAUCUAAUCAGCUGCCAGUACAGCUAGAAUAAAGCAGGCAGAAAAAGUUGGAAGGACUAGACUUGCUGUGUCUUUCAGUCUUCAUCUUUCUCCUGUGCUGGACGCUUCCUGCCCUCGAACAUCAGACUCCAGGUUCUUCAGCUUUUGGACUCUCGGACUUACACCAGUGAUUUGCCAGGGGGCUCUCAGGCCUUUGACUACAGACUGAAGGCUGCCCUGUUGGCUUCCCUGCUUCUGAGGUUUUGGGACUCAGACUGGCUUUCUUGCUCCUCAGUUCACAGAUGGCCUAUUGUGGGACUUCACCUUGUGAUCAUAUGAGUCAGUACUCCUUAAUAAACUCCCCUUCAUAUGUACAUUUGUCCUGUUUGUUCUGUCCCUCUAGAGAACCCUGACUAAUACAACAAGGAUGCCCACUUUUACCACUUCUAUCCAACAUAACACUGGAAGUCCUAGCCAGAAUAAUUAGACAACAGAAAGAAAUAAAGGGCAUCCAAAUUGGUAAUGAGGAAAUCAAACUGUUGUUGUCUGCUGAUGACAUGAUCAUAUACCUAGAAAACCCUGAAGACUCAUCCAAAAAGCUCCUAGAGCUGGUAAAUGAAUCCAUCAAAGUUUCAGGAUACAAAAUUAAUGUACACAAAUCAGCAGCUCUGCUAUAGCUCUGUU
rnacentral:lncRNA from 1 species